UACGUAGGUGGCGAGCGUUGUCCGGAAUUACUGGGUGUAAAGCGCGUGUAGGCGGGAGGCCAAGUCUGCGGUGAAAUCGCUCGGCUCAACUGGGCGGGGUCCGUGGAAACUGGUCACCUGGAGGACGGUAGAGGCGAGUGAAAUUCCCGGUGUAGUGGUGAAAAUGCGUAGAGAUCGGGAGGAACACCAGUGGCGAAGGCGGCUCGCUGGGCCGGACUUGACGCUGAGACGCGAAAGGCGUGGGGGAGCGAACGGGG
rnacentral:rRNA from 1 species